UACGUAGGGUGCAAGCGUUGUCCGGAAUUAUUGGGCGUAAAGAGUUCGUAGGCGGUUUGUCGCGUCUGCUGUGAAAACUCGAGGCUCAACCUCGGGCUUGCAGUGGGUACGGGGCAGACUAGAGUGCGGUAGGGGGAGACUGGAAUUCCGUGGUGUAGCGGUGGAAUGCGCAGAUAUCAGGAGGAACACCGAGUGGCGAAGGCAGGUCUCUGGGCCGCAACUGACGC
rnacentral:rRNA from 1 species